rnacentral:rRNA from 1 species
GUCUAGAGUGGCUGGAACUUUUACUUUGAAAAAAUUAGAGUGCUCAAACAGGCGUAUCACCUGAAUAGUGGUGCAUGGAAUAAUGGAAUAGGACCUCAGUUCUAUUUUGUUGGUUUUCGGAGCAUGAGGUAAUGAUUAAGAGGGACAGACGGGGGCAUUCGUAUUGCGACGUUAGAGGUGAAAUUCUUGGAUCGUCGCAAGACGAACUACUGCGAAAGCAUUUGCCAAGAAUGUUUUCAUUAAUCAAGGACGAUAGUUAGAGGUUCGAAGGCGAUCAGAUACCGCCCUAGUUCUACCCGUAAACGAUGUCAACCAGCGAUCCGCAGGAGUUAUUCAUGACUCUGCGGGCAGCUUCCGGGAAACCAAAGUUUUUGGAUUCCGGGGGGAGUAUGGUUGCAAAGCUGAAACUUAAAGGAAUUGACGGAAGGGCACCACCAGGAGUGGAGCCUGCGGCUUAAUUUGACUCAACGCGGGGAAACUCACCCGGCCCGGACACCGUAAGGAUUGACAGAUUGAGAGCUCUUUCUUGAUUCGGUGGGUGGUGGUGCAUGGCCGUUCUUAGUUGGUGGAGCGAUUUGUCUGGUUAAUUCCGAUAACGAACGAGACUCUAGCCUACUAAAUAGAAGGCAAAUUAUUCGUUUGCUGUACUUCUUAGAGGGACUAGGGGCGUCUAGCCUCACGAGAUUGAGCAAUAACAGGUCUGUGAUGCCCUUAGAUGUCCGGGGCCGCACGCGCGCUACACUGAAGGAUUCAGCAAGUGUUAACCCUGGUCUGAGAAGAUCGGGUAACUUAAUGAAA